UACGGGGGGGGGCAAGCGUUGUUCGGAAUUACUGGGCGUAAAGGGCUCGUAGGCGCCAACUAAGUCCGACGUGAAAUCCCCAGGCUUAACCUGGGAACUGCGUCGGAUACUGGAUGGCUUGAAUUCGGGAGAGGGAUGCAGAAUUCCAGGUGUAGCGGUGAAAUGCGUAGAUAUCUGGAGGAAUACCGGUGGCGAAGGCGGCAUCCUGGACCGACAGUUGACGCUGAUGAGCGAAAGCUAGGGGAGCAAACGGG
rnacentral:rRNA from 1 species